AGUGCUGGGAUUACAGGCGUGAGCUAUCACACCCAGCCAUAAGCACUCUUCUAAGUGUAUCAUGUAAAUAGUCAAAUGUAAUGCCAACAACAACCAUAAAACAUAGCGAAUAAUAAUCAGUAACAUCCAUGGACCACCAAUGUCUCAGUGACUUAGGACGUUAUAGGCACGAGGUCACUUACCUCUCAUAACAGCCAGUCAAGUUCAGUCUGUUCUCAUAAUGCUUGUUUUGAAAAUGAGAACCUGUAUAAUUCAAUCAAGACAGUUGCAAGUGGGGGGAAAAAAAAGGAGAACGUGUUCCAACAUGAUUGGUAUACCAGGGAACAAUAUGAGCAUAAUGUAGAUUUUGCAUUUGCUCUUGUGUGAUUUUCUCAGUGGGAAACACUGUCAGGGGUUGGCAAACUACAGCCCUCUGGCCAGUGGCCUGUUUUUGUAAAUAAAGAUUUAUUGGAACACAGCAACACUCAUUCAUUGAACAACAGCAACAGAGUUGAGUCUUUGUAACAGAUACCUUCGCAAACUUGAAAGUAUUUAUUACCGGAUGUCAACAAAGCCUGAGUCCUGUCGUCUUGCUCUCUUCCCUGGACAGCAUGAGCUUCACCACUUGCUCCACCUUCUUCCCCAACUACCAGUCCCUGGGAUCUGUCCAGGCUCCCCGAUAUGGCACCCAGCUGGUCAGCAGUGUGGCCAGUGUCUAUGCAGGCGCCGCGGACUCCGGUUCUUGGAUCUCCAUGUCCUGCUUCACCAGCUUCCAGGGUGGCAUGGUGUCCAGAGGCCUGGCGGCAGGGAUGGUUGGGGGUCUGGCAGGAAUGGGGGGCAUCCAGAACAAGAAAGAGACCAUGCAAAGCCUGAACGACGACCUGGCCUCCUACCUAAACAGAGUAAGGAGCCUGGAGACCGAGAACCGGAAGCUGGAGAGCAAAAUCCAGGAGCACCUGGAGAAGAAGGGACCCCAGGUGAGAGACUAGAGCCAUUACUUCAAGACCAUCAAGGACCUAAGGGUUCAGAUCUUGGCAAAUACUGUGGACAAUGCCCACGUUGUUCUGUAGAUCCACAAUGCCUGUCUUGCUGCUGAUGACGUUAGAGUCAAGUAUGAGACAGAGCUGGCCAAGCGCCAGUCUGUGGAGAGCUACCUCCAUGGGCUCCUCAAGGUCAUUGAUGACACCAAUGUCACUUGGCUGCAGCUGGAGACAGAGAUCGAGGCUCUCAAGGAGGAGCUGCUCUUCAUGAAGAAGAACCUCGAGGAGGAAGUAAAAGGCCUACAAGCCCAGAUUGCCAGCUCUGGGUUGACCGUGGAGGUAGAUGCCCCCAUG